rnacentral:rRNA from 1 species
CAGAAAAAGCACCGGCUAACUACGUGCCAGCAGCCGCGGUAAUACGUAGGGUGCAAGCGUUGUCCGGAAUUAUUGGGCGUAAAGAGCUCGUAGGCGGUUUGUCGCGUCUGCUGUGAAAACCAGAAGCUCAACUUCUGGCCUGCAGUGGGUACGGGCAAACUAGAGUGCGGUAGGGGAGAACGGAAUUCCUGGUGUAGCGGUGGAAUGCGCAGAUAUCAGGAGGAACACCGAUGGCGAAGGCAGUUCUCUGGGCCGUUACUGACGCUGAGGAGCGAAAGCGUGGGGAGCGAACAGGAUUAGAUACCCUGGUAGUCCACGCCGUAAACGGUGGGUGCUAGCUGUGGGCCACAUUCCACGUGGUCCGUGACGAAGUUAACACAUUAAGCACCCCGCCUGGGGAGUACGGCCGCAAGGCUAAAACUCAAAGGAAUUGACGGGGGCCCGCACAAGCGGCGGAGCAUGCGGAUUAAUUCGAUGCAACGCGAAGAACCUUACCAAGGCUUGACAUAUAGAGGAAAAGUACAGAAAUGUACUCCCCGUAAGGUCUCUAUACAGGUGGUGCAUGGUUGUCGUCAGCUCGUGUCGUGAGAUGUUGGGUUAAGUCCCGCAACGAGCGCAACCCUCGUCCUAUGUUGCCAGCACGUUAUGGUGGGAACUCAUGGGAUACUGCCGGGGUCAACUCGGAGGAAGGUGGGGAUGACGUCAAAUCAUCAUGCCCCUUAUGUCUUGGGCUUCACGCAUGCUACAAUGGCCGGUACAGAGGGCUGCAAUACCGUAAGGUGGAGCGAAUCCCAAAAAGCCGGUCUCAGUUCGGAUUGAG